CCUACGGGGGGCAGCAGUGGGGAAUAUUGGGCAAUGGGCGAAAGCCUGACCCAGCGACGCCGCGUGCGGGAUGAAGGCCUUCGGGUUGUAAACCGCUUUCAGCAGGGAAGAAGCGAAAGUGACGGUACCUGAAGAAGAAGCACCGGCUAACUAUGUGCCAGCAGCCGCGGUAAUACAUAGGGUGCAAGCGUUGUCCGGAAUUAUUGGGCGUAAAGAGCUCGUAGGUGGUUCGUUACGUCGGAUGUGAAAACCUGAGGCUCAACCUCAGGCCUGCAUUCGAUACGGGCGAACUGGAGUGUGGUAGGGGAGGCUGGAAUUCCUGGUGUAGCGGUGGAAUGCGCAGAUAUCAGGAGGAACACCAAUGGCGAAGGCAGGCCUCUGGGCCACUACUGACACUGAGGAGCGAAAGCGUGGGGAGCAAACAGGAUUA
rnacentral:rRNA from 1 species